UUGGAAUAGUCGGCCAGCAGAUAUAGAUGGCCUUCUCGAGUGGUGUAAGGGCUAGGACGCGACGCCCUCUGCGUUCUUAAGGCCUCAGACUUUCUUCUGCGGCCGGCUGGAUUGGAUGCUCGAAGGCCUGGACCCUUCCUACAGCUGAGCCAACGGGAACGCGGAACCUCCGUGGAUCUGCCAAUAGAGAGCGCUCGGCCGUGGGCUGGCGGGGUCUCUGAAUCCCGGAGCACCUGGAACCCAGCACCUGCCUGCAUGUUUAAGAUAUGUAAGAAGACUGCAAUAGUUAAAACGGUUCCCAUUGUCACAGACGUGUGCCCGUGUGCACUGGAAUGCUCUCUAUGAAGAAUGACAGACUGAGUGGACAGAACUGAGCUCAGAGUCCAUAAGGAGCAGGUUAUUUUGAGCCAUCUCUGUCUACGAUGUAAGCAGGUUGAUGGAACGGAGUCCUUGGAAACUCAGCAUGGGCUAGAGUUCUGAGCUUUAGCCGGAAAGGGCAAAUUUCCCUUUAUGAAACAUUUAAACAGUCAACUUGCUCAGGCCGGUUCUCCAUUGCCUGUCUUAUUGGACUCAUCACUGCUAUAGGCUGCGCCUUGGGCUUAGAUCCUGCUGGAAAAAUACCACGUGAAUCUUCACUGGCAGAUGUGCUACCUGAUCACCGAACAGCCCCUGCCAGAACCUCUGCUGUGAGCACGACAAAAGCUGGCCAAUCUCCUCCAGGCUGGCCAGGCUCCAGCCCUAAAAGUAACUCAC
rnacentral:lncRNA from 1 species